CCGGCCGGCCCCCAGCGCGCCAGGCCUCCUGGGCGCCCAGUGCGCAGGCGCCGGCGGCGGGCUCCGAGCGUGUGCCGGGCUGGAGCGCGGUGGGGCGCGUGGCGGCGGCGGCGGCGGCGGCGGCGGGGGAGCGGUGGGGCGGAAGGACCCCCGGACGGCAGGGCGCGGUGCUGCCUGGGCUCCCCGGUGCGGGUGUGGCCCCUCCCCAGGUGCCUCCGCACUCAGGCCGGCCCCCAGCGUGCGGGGCCUCCCGGUCGACCAGUGCGCAGGCGCCGGCGGGGGGCUCCCAGCGUGCACUGCGCUCGAGCGCGGUCCCCCGGACUGACGGCCAGCCCUGCGGAUGGACGGGCCGUGUGCCCUGUCGCCCUGCGCCUGCUGAACUCCGAGCGCCCGAGGAUGUCUGCGCUGAGGAAGGUACGGGCCGCGGGCGGGGCGCAGGCAGGGACCCCGAGCUGCAGGAGUGACCGGUCGUGGGCUGCGCGCUGCGGCCUGGUGCCUCGCCGGCGGUGCUUCCCGGACCCGGCACUCCCGCGGCGUGGGUGCGGCGCGGACUGUUCCGGGCAGACGGGCGGGCUGGAGGAGCUGCGGGGCCUGAGGAGGGGGCGGCGUCCGGCUCCCGCGGGGCAGCGGCGAGGGCCCAGGGGCCCAGGCGGAAGCGGCUCGUGUUUAGGGCAGCGCGAGCGGCGGACAGACGGUCCCUGGACAGCUCGAGAGCCUCCGUCCACGUCGCCCGAGGCAGCAAGUGCCGGGUCUGUCCUCCGGAUGCGGGGCACCGCCCCUGGGGGGACGCGCGCUACCUUCCUGUCGCCCUGGCACCGGCCGCGCAGGCGCGCUGGGACCGUGGGGCUGCGGGCGAGCUGCACUUGCUGCAGGCUACCGCCGCCUCCAGCGCCAGGGGACCCGCGCCACAGGUGGCAUCCGGGGCGGGGCCUGCGCGCCGGCAGGGGCCGGGGAGCGGUGGGGCGGAAGGAUCCCCGGACGCCAUGCUUGGCGCUGCCUGGGCUCCCCGCGCUUGCCUGGCCCUUCCCCACGUGCCUCCGCGCGCCGGCCGGCCCCCAGCGCGCCAGGCCUCCGGGGCGCCCAGUGCGCAGGCGCCGGCGGCGGGCUCCGAGCGUGUGCCGGGCUGGAGCGCGGUGGGGCGCGUGGUGGCGGCGGCGGCGGCGGGGGAGCGGUGGGGCGGAAGGACCCCCGGACGGCAGGGCGCGGUGCUGCCUGGGCUCCGCGGUGCGGGUGUGGCCCCUCCCCAGGUGCCUCCGCACUCAGGCCGGCCCCCAGCGUGCGGGGCCUCCCGGUAGACCAGUGCGCAGGCGCCGGCGGGGGGCUCCCAGCGUGCACUGCGCUCGAGCGCGGUCUCCCGGACUGACGGCCAGCCCUGCGGAUGGACGGGCCGUGUGCCCUAUCACCCUGCGCCUGCUGAACUCCGAGCACCCGAGGAUGUCUGCGCUGAGGAAGGUCUGUAUGAGCUGUUGGCUGUUGUGCAGGCCGGCUGGGGCCACGUGUGGACAGCCAGGAAGACCUGACCUUCCUCUGGGAUAUGUUUGGUGA
rnacentral:lncRNA from 12 species